AAAAAAUAUGGAUUGAAUAAAACGAUAUUGAGAACAUUGUUGUAACAUUAUAUAGAUGUAACUUGAUACUAUAUAUAUAUAUAUAUAUAUAUAUGUUGUCUUUGCUGAAGUGCAUUCCAUCCCCUCUACUCUGAACGCUUCAUACUCUCUCUUUGGUUUACAUGGAUAACUUAUGGGACUCUUGAAGCAACCACACCAGCAUCAUGAAGACACACCGGAAAAAAAUACAUCAAUUAGUCCCAAGGGUUUGAAUUUUAUUUUGAAAGGAAAGAUGGUUAAUGUGUGAAAGAAAUAUUGAAUCUUUUAAUGUUUAUACAUUCUGUCAAGUUGUAAAUAUAAUUUAACAAAAAGGUUCUCAUGUUUAUUCAAGAAUUGUCUAUCCAUUA